UACGGAGGGUGCAAACGUUGCUCGGAAUCAUUGGGCGUAAAGCGCACGUAGGCGGCCCGCCAAGUCGGGACGUGAAAGCCCAGGGCUCAACCCUGGAAGUGCGUUCGAAACUGACGGGCUUGAAUAUGGAAGAGGGUCGCGGAAUUCCCGGUGUAGAGGUGAAAGUUCGUAAGAUAUCGGGAGGAACACCGGUGGCGAAGGCGGCGAUCUGGGUCGGAUACUGACGCUGAGGUGCGAAAGCGUGGGGAGCAAACAGG
rnacentral:rRNA from 1 species